AGGUUUAUAUACAGCAGGGCAGGGCCUACCCUGCUCUCAGCAACAGGACAGCCAUUCCAUGAGAGGAAACUGCUGCUGUUCUUCCCUUGCCCAGUCAGAAUAAAUGGAGCAGCGGCAGCUGGCUGGCUGUGGUGCUUUCAGCAGACAUUCUGGGACUGCCACUGUGUUCUUGUGCACGUGGAGCAGCCUGUGCUCCCAAGAGUCUGCAGCAGGGAAUGAGUCCUUGAGAGCAGAGCCUCUGGAGCAGCACACUGGGACAUCAGCUACAAGCAGGGUGAGCUGAGAGUGGCAGUGACUGCACAGCCCCAGGCAGAUGCAGAACGAGGGGAGUCAGGCUGGUACCUGUGCCAGUUUGAUCUUGCUCCUUCCUCGGGGGCAAAGCAAACUUCCAGGUGUUUGCACCUGCUUCUGAAAUGGGGAUGGUGCUACACGUGGUCAAAGCAAUUCACAUUUUUGGUUGUAAGGUAAUGUGAGACUGAGACAGCACCACAAUGGGGACCAUGUGGACACUUGUGCAUGGACAGAAUAAUUCCAAAUGUUUGUGUUGCAUCAGUUCUGCAAAUGCUUUUUGUUACAGUGCAUAAAAGAUACAAUACCUGCCAGCAUUAGCUUUGUAAAGAGAAACCGUUUUCUUCUGUUGACUAAUUAUCCAGUGAAUAUAUUCAGUUUGAGGGGACACUUCAAUAAUUUAGCAGGCAUGUGCCAGGUAAUAUAGGAGCUUUUGUCUUACUGGUGGCACAGAUCUUGAAUUGUGUGUAACCCAAUCCCUGGCUUUAUGUAUUCAAGGAAGUCUUUGGUGUAUAGCUCCUGUAUCAAGUGCCACUGAAAAGCAGGCCUAGAUAAGAGAUUAAGGUAAUGCUCUUCCCUGGGCACAGGGAAAAUUUACCCUUUGCUGCCCAGGGUGUCUUUUUGCAGGCAGGAACUGCUUUAUACGUGAGGGGUGUGGAUAUGCUGAGAUCCAGCAAUGAGUUUUUUGUAGGAACAGAAAAAUGCUGCAAACUGCAUGUUAAAUACUCAGGUCAGCUAAGCCUGUCCUUGGGGGUGUAUUAACAAAUGCUUUGUUUGAUAGGAAAUGCUUUCUGUCAUUAAUGUUCCUUAAAUGCAGAUUGUUGAUUUGCUGGACCAGACAAGGAGAGGGAUAAUGUUCAGUUCCUGGGAACAUUCUGAAAUAAAACUGGAGUAAUGGAUUUUCUUCAACCCUUCCCAAGGUGCUUCCUCACAGUUGUGCCAUCUUCCAGAAAGGUGGAAGCUCAAAUGUCCUUUUCUGACCCACUGCAAACUGGUUCAGUCACCUCCCUUUCCUUGCCUAUAAAAUGCAUCUCACUACUGAUCUACAGCAAAGGGAGAUACAUUUUGUUUAGAAUAUGCCACAAUUAAUGCACUCAGUAACAGGUAGAGAUAAUGCAGUGGCUCAGACUAUUCUCAAAUGACUAAAUUGGAGUUCAAAUACAAUCUUUACUACCUUUUCUUCUUUGGAAGGACAGCUGUCUGCCAUGCUCCUACUGUAACAGUGGGAUUUAUAUGGAGUCAGGUGUCACUUAGUGACAGGUAAUUGUUUUCUGCAGAUACCUGACUCUUUUCCUUGGAGGUCUCCCUUUCCUAAAUAAUGUUCAUUUCUACUCUGCAGCAGCAGGGUUGCAGACAGCAGUUGGUUGUUUAGGCAUUAAUGUUUAAUUUAUGGAACAGUAUCUAUAUAAUUGUAAAGAAUAACAUCUACAUUUGUGGAACAUUGUCAGACUUCAAACACGAGUAUGUAGCAUUUCAGAAACGCUUUCACUGGGCUGAAACAGCUUUUCAAAUAACCACAGAAAGAUGGUAAAUGUCUAUUUAAAGAGAACAGCUUAGCAAAACCUUGUCAUUGAACCCUUCCAGCUUUUGUUCAGCCAUUGGCUGCGUGAUGCAGCUGGAGUCAUUCUGCAGUGCUGACCUGUGUUUGUCACAAUGGCUGAGCUCAUCCAGCUCAUCAUCUGAGCCCCUCUCUUUGGUGGCCCUGCAAACAGCAGCAGGGAGAUGAGAGAGAGGAUUAUUAAACUCUGGAAACUAUUCUGCAUGUGGCUUGGCCCAGGGUAACAUUUCCCUCUAGUGACCUACUUGCUACUACCUUGCUCUUAACAUCCUUAAGGAUGGUGCUGUCCCAGCCACACCUCUGGUAAGGAAACAGCAGAGUGGUUUUUUCUCCUUGUAGGCUGAUGAAAAUGUCCUUUGAGGUAAGACUGGCCCUGGCACCCCCAGGCUGGCAAAAGGAAAACCACAGUCCAAGCAGCAGAAUGGAUUUCCUGAUUUAGUACUGAUCCAUGCACUUCAUAUGUGCUUGACUUCAAAAUACAGAUCAGCUGACUUGCCAGCCUUUGUGUCCUCCUGAGAAUGCAUGUAAAACCUGCCCUCCUGUCUUGCACCUUUCUCUGUGUGCUUCCCCACUAACUAGAGGCAAGAUGGGCACUAAUUGGACCAUAAGAUUUAGCAGGCAGUGGCCUGCCUUUGUUUCACUUGCCCUGUUCAGCUGAUGUCACUGUCCUGUGGCAAUGUUGGGGACAGAGUGUUGCUGGUGACUGCCUGUCGAGCUGUUGAUGGCUUUUCCUCACCAGGAAUCACUGCUCCAGCAGAUUGGAUGUGGAUGUUGGACUGUCAGGAGCUGGGUGGCAUUGCCCAAGAGAGCUUUGACCCCUCCAGUCAGUGAUUGUGCUGCCCUGCUUUGGCACCAUCGUAACUGAUUCUUUUUGGAAAAGGCCCAUUUUGGACUUUUUGAUACCAUGUAGAAGCUGGGAUCAUCCUGCCCAGAUUUCAGUGCAGGUUCAUUGUGGGUGUUAAAUACCUUCUAAAAGUAUCACACCUGAAAAGUGAUAUCAGAGUAGAUGGAUUAUUUAUCUCAUUGCAUGUGAUGUGACAGAAGAGUCUGGAUUAGUGAGGACUAAAAUACAGCAACCUGGAGAAAAGGACCAAGGGGGGGAUCCAUGGGUGAGACCUGGAUUUGGGGAUACUUGAGCCAGUUCCUGAAGAGACUCUCCCUCCAUGACAUCACCAAAGGCAAACUUGAAGAAAUGGGCAGUAUUUUGGCCUAUAUAUUUAAUAUUCUGCUGAGGUGUAGAUGCUGUCAUAGCAGGAAAAUGUUUUCUGGAUCUGUCUUACAGCUCCUGGUCCCCAGUGCUUACUGCCAGCGGAGGAGCUGUGGUAGAAAAUCUGGAGAGGAACUUCUGUCCCAGAAACCACCACGAGCUGUGUGCUUUGUCCUGUUCCUUUUCUGCUUCUAACCCUUCAUCAUCCCUUCCCUGACUCCUAUGAAGUAAAGAAGAAACUAAGAUCAGCUAGUGAAGGAUUUCCUGGAUUUGUUGCAUAAUUUAGUUGCAAUAUGAACAUCUGCACUCUUCAUUAGUCAUUCACUACGAGGUCAAAUAGAGAUCAUCCCCGAGGUCACAGGAAAGGCAAGGGUUACCACUGCUCUAGGCCAAGACAUUACAAUACUGAUGAUGACAAAACUAUUUGGCAGGGUUGCCAACAAUGCCAAAAAACAAGCCACCAUCCUAAUCAAGGGCAGUAUUUUGAUUGUUCAGAAAGCCAGCCCAGCUCCCUGCUGUCACACUGUGACAAUCCCCAGCCCAGUGUCAUUCCAGCUCCCCAGAGUGCUCUGCCAGCGCUGGGAGAGUCUGUACACACAGCUCCCAGGAGCUGUACCUGGAUAAACAGUGAACUGGAGAUGGUGGAGGAGAAAUUCCCCAAGGGCAGAGUAAAAAGCAUCAAGAAAUGGAGGUGUCACCACUCAGGGUGGCUGCAGCACAUCUUCACCACUGAAGGGACACCACCACGGGGUCCACUGAAGCAGCUUUCCUUGCUCACCUGAUGCUUCCUGGUCCCAAACAGGUUGCUGUAACAUUAAGCCAGAUCACUCUAGAUGCCCACUAGAGCUGAUGGUCUGCUUGUGUGUCACCAGUGCAGCCAGCAAAAGGAUCAGCAUCCCCACUUCUGGAAUAUUCAGAAGAGGAAAUAGUCCUGUUGGAAGAUUCCUACAGAAACCAAAGCCAAAAGGCAGCCCUGAUUGGGAACCUCCUCUGCUCAAUUAUUUUGUUACAAGUGGCCCAAAGAAGAAUGAUUUUCAUUCUUCAAUUCUUGUUGCAGCAGCAGCUCUGGGUUAAGCAGUGGUUAUGGUGUGCUCAAGGCAGCAACCCAGAAAAUCUGACACAGAGGGCCCAGAUGCAGAAUUUCCUGCGAUAACCUAAACCAAAUGCCACUGAGUGCAGCUCCCCUCGAGAUCUCCCUGUUCACAGCCUCGCUGGUGGCCAGCAUCCAGACUGAGCAUUAGUAAAACCAACAAACCAAACAGUUCCCACAGCAGGGACCAUUUCUAUAUGGUUCUGUACCUGGAGAGCCUUGCAGUGCCACCUUCUCUAGGAUUUCCAGUGGAAUCCAGCACACUGGUUUGGUGAUCUGCAGCUGUUCCAUUCCACCUCUUGGAUAAUGCUGCUGAAGUCCACCAGAAGGAGCCUUUGUGUAUCAAUUUUGCAUAAGCCUUGAGGAAUGUAUUAACAUGUAAGUAAAACCCCAGUGAGUCCUCUUAACUGUGUUGAAUUAUCAUAAAAUUAAUCUUCCCAAUCUGAAUGAGAAUAGGAUGCUCUGGAUUUGCAAUACAAAUCCUGUGCAUUAAGGGUAUGGAUGGUUGUACACCCACUGCCAAAGAUGACUUUUCUCCCAGCCUCCUCAUUGACUGACCUGUGUAGUUUUAUUUCGUAAUAACUACAAAGGACUUAAUGCACCCCUACAAUAGUUUAUAUCAGGUCUGUGUUCUCCUGCUUGCUUGCAGUCUGCUCUUAGGUUUGUGCUGAGAAAUAUCCUGCCUUCCCCAAAGCAGCUUUGUACUUUGAGAUAUGCCUGUCUUUACAGGAGUUAUCUGUGGUCAGAGAAAGCUGAAAUAUAUACUUCUCAGGUACUCCUAUUGUUGCAGUAAACUGGCUCUGCCAAGCUCCUGCAGCUUUGAUCUGAUGGUUGGAUUUCAUCUGUAGGUGUUUUGAGGAGGAUGAGUGCUUUCCACAAGAAUGAGGCAGAAAAAAUAAAAGCAAAUUAAUUAACUUCCAUGAAGUUAUCCUUACUCACUUUCUCUUCCCCUUCCUGCUGUGUUUGUGGUAACAGCUCAUUAGAGCCUGUGUUUGCAAUAGCUGCACUAUUGAAAUCUCUCAGGAGAUUUCAUUUCCCGUCCUGCUUUCCAGGAUGUGGCAGAACCGAGGCCGCCUCCCCCAGCCACACCAGCAGUACCGGGGGUUUGCAGGCAGGUUUAGCCUUAACUCCUUUCUUGCUCUGUUCUGCCAGUAAGAGAACUCCAGUUCCUGCCUCAAGGGAAGAAGAGGAGCUGGGAUUUCUCCUUUGAGAGAUGUGGAGCUCAUGUUUGAAGAAGAAAAAAGCCUGUGCUGCUUUUCCCCCCCUGCUCACCAUAAGCAUCGAGAACAGAGAUGCUGCUGGUCUCUCUGGAGAACUUUGCCAGCCCUGCCUGCCCUGCAGAGGAGCCAGAGUCUGGUUGGAUGAUUUGAAUCUCUGCCAUCAUUUGGAGCAGAAUGAAGCUCUGUAAAAGGACAGUGACUGAAUGCCAACUGGGCUGUCAUUAGCUCGGGCAGCGCAGGAAGCAGCUGAUGUGCAGUUUGUGGUGGAAGUCAUGCAGACAGAAGGGGUGACUCAGGGGUGGAGAGGCCCCAGCCCUGGCUGCAGUCCAACCCCAAAGGUGUAUCCCAGGCUUGCUCUUCGGAUGGACCAGGGACACCUGCUGGCUCCACAAGACACAAAGGCCCCAAGGACCAUCCAUUUGCAGAAGGCUGUCCAUCUUCCAGUGAUGUUGGGUGCUGCUGGCCCAGCUCCAUCUUUCUUCCACAGUAAUCAAAGGAAAUGCACCCUAAUCUUGAAGUCUGGUGCUUCAGAAGUAAAAAGCUUAAUGGCUUUCCUUGGCUUUUUUUUUCUCUCUCUCUUUUAUGAAGCAUAGGGUGUUUAGAACUAUGGAAGCAGUGCAAGAAAAAUAUUAAUGAAUAACUAUGGAGUGCAGACAUUAAUGCAUUCCUUUCUCUUGAAAUAACUGGCUUUUCUCUGUGGGGUCUGUAACAAAAAAAGUGUCUGCAGAGUCUGAACCUGCUGUAUAGAAGCCAAAGUAGAUGAUGAUUUAGAACUUCACCGGCUUUUUUUUUUUUUCCUUUUUCUUUUUUCCUAAAAUGUUAUCUCUGCAUUUCUCAUGUUG